UACAGAGGUCCCGAGCGUUGUUCGGAUUCAUUGGGCGUAAAGGGUGCGUAGGUGGUCGGGUAAGUCUGAUGUGAAAUCUCUGGGCUCAACCCAGAAAUGGCAUUGGAUACUAUCCGGCUAGAGGAGUGGAGGGGGGACUGGAAUACUUGGUGUAGCAGUGAAAUGCGUAGAUAUCAAGUGGAACACCAGUGGCGAAGGCGAGUCCCUGGACACUUCCUGACACUGAGACGCGAAAGCAUGGGGAGCGAACGGG
rnacentral:rRNA from 1 species